GCCGCCGUAGCUCAGCUGGCAGAGCGCCGGACUCAUAAUCCGGAGGUCCCGGGUUCAAAUCCCGGCGGCGGCACCA
rnacentral:tRNA from 1 species